rnacentral:rRNA from 1 species
CGGGGGGGCGAAGCGUUGUUCGGAAUUACUGGGCGUAAAGGGCGCGUAGGCGGCUCGCUAAGACGGGUGUGAAAACUCUGGGCUCAACCCAGAGCCUGCACUCGAAACUGACGAGCUAGAGUUCUGGAGGGGAAAGCGGAAUUCCUGGUGUAGCGGUGAAAUGCGUAGAUAUCAGGAGGAACACCGGUGGCGAAGGCGGCUUUCUGGACAGAAACUGACGCUGAGGCGCGAAAGCUAGGGGAGCAAACAGGAUUAGAUACCCUGGUAGUCCUAGCCCUAAACGAUGGAUACUUGCUGUGGGGGGGAUUGAAUCCCUUCGUGGCGAAGCUAACGCAUUAAGUAUCCCGCCUGGGGAGUACGGUCGCAAGGCUG